rnacentral:rRNA from 1 species
UACGUAGGGACCGAGCGUUGUCCGGAUUCAUUGGGCGUAAAGAGCUCGUAGGCGGCUGUUCAAGUCGAACGUGAAAACUCGGAGCUCAACUCCGAGCCUGCGUUCGAUACUGGACGGCUAGAGUCUGGUAGGGGGAUCUGGAAUUCCUGGUGUAGCGGUGGAAUGCGCAGAUAUCAGGAGGAACACCUGUGGUGUAGACGGCUUUCUGGACCAUAGCUGACGCUGAGACACGAAAGCGUGGGUAGCAAACAGG